CCUACGGGCGGCAGCAGUGGGGAAUAUUGGACAAUGGGGGGAACCCUGAUCCAGCCAUGCCGCGUGUGUGAAGAAGGCCCUCGGGUUGUAAAGCACUUUCAGUGAGGAAGAACGCCUGGUGGUUAAUACCCAUCAGGAAAGACAUCACUCACAGAAGAAGCACCGGCUAACUCCGUGCCAGCAGCCGCGGUAAUACGGAGGGGGCGAGCGUUAAUCGGAAUUACUGGGCGUAAAGCGCGCGUAGGUGGCUUGAUAAGCCGGUUGUGAAAGCCCCGGGCUCAACCUGGGAACGGCAUCCGGAACUGUCAAGCUAGAGUGCAGGAGAGGAAGGUAGAAUUCCAGGUGUAGCGGUGAAAUGCGUAGAGAUCGGGAGGAAUACCAGUGGCGAAGGCGGCCUUCUGGACUGACACUGACACUGAGGUGCGAAAGCGUGGGUAGCAAACAGGAUUAGAUACCCUUGUAGUC
rnacentral:rRNA from 1 species